rnacentral:rRNA from 1 species
UACGUAGGCAGCAAGCGUUGUUCGGAGUUACUGGGCGUAAAGGGUGCGUAGGCGGCUCUAUAAAGUAUGGUGUGAAAUCUCCCGGCUUAACUGGGAGGGUGCGCUAUAGACUGUGGGGGCUAGAGUGUGGGAGAGGAAAGUGGAAUUCCUGGUGUAGCGGUGAAAAUGCGUAGAUAUCAGGAGGAACACCGGUGGUGUAA